GAUGAACGCUAGCGAUAGGCUUAACACAUGCAAGUCGAGGGGCAGCAUGGUCUUAGCUUGCUAAGACUGAUGGCGACCGGCGCACGGGUGCGUAACGCGUAUGCAACUUGCCUCACAGAGGGGGAUAACCCGUCGAAAGACGGACUAAUACCGCGUACACUUGGGAUAGGGCAUCCUGACCCAAGGAAAUGAAAUUCGCUGUGAGAUAGGCAUGCGUCCCAUUAGCUAGUUGGUGAGGUAACGGUUCACCAAGGCGACGAUGGGUAGGGGAACUGAGAGGUUGAACCCCCACACUGGUACUGAGACACGGACCAGACUCCUACGGGAGGCAGCAGUGAGGAAUAUUGGUCAAUGGGCGAGAGCCUGAACCAGCCAAGUCGCGUGAAGGAUGACUGUCUUAUGGAUUGUAAACUUCUUUUAUACGGGAAUAACAAGAGCCACGUGUGGCUCCCUGCAUGUACCGUAUGAGUAAGCAUCGGCUAACUCCGUG
rnacentral:rRNA from 1 species